rnacentral:rRNA from 1 species
AGACGGAGGGUGCAAGCGUUGCUCGGAAUCACUGGGCGUAAAGGGCGUGUAGGCGGGACUGUAAGUCGGAUGUGAAAGCCCUGGGCUCAACCCAGGAAGUGCAUUCGAAACUACAGUUCUUGAGUAUGGCAGAGGAGAGUGGAAUUCCCGGUGUAGCGGUGAACUGCGCAGAUAUCGGGAAGAACACCGGUGGCGAAGGCGGCUCUCUGGGCCAUAACUGACGCUAAGGCGCGAAAGCUAGGGGAGCGAACGGGAUUAGAAACCCCAGUAGUCC